GUCAUAGUAUUAUAAAUAAUAUUAUCUUGGACCGUAGUAACGAGAUUUAUUUAUUUAAACAAAAGUUUUUAUAGUCAAUUAUUUACACUGGCUAGGCGCACGACCAAAGAAAUACCGGACCAACUUAAAGAGAAACGCUGGUUAUAGGGAAUGUCCAUUCCGCGAAACUGGAGAGGCGCCUAAUUGGAGUGGCGCCUAUAAUAUGAGAUAAACUGCACCACCGAGGACGACAAGAGGACCAUAGGCGGACUGUCGGAUCGGGAUGCCGGAGCGGACGUGGCUGGCCUUUGCGGUGACCCGGCCACGUUCUAGUUGGGCCGCGACGACGGCUUGGGGAGGUGCACUACAACAUAAACGGCCGAAAGCGAAUCAGACGGGGGAGCAAGAGGAUGGCUCGACGGCGGAGAUAAAUAUAAGAUAUGGCAUGCAGCGGUGGCACUUGCAGCAGCCGCAAACGCGGAAAAAGGAUCGGGAUCGGCAAGACUAGUUUGGAAAUCAGCAGCCUCUGAAGGACCACCGAAAGCAUAUGUAACGGAAAUGCUGCCCGCGUCCGGGAAACCGGCCCGCCCGGCGAUGGGGUUCGUUCUGCAGUGGCGUUAUGGUAAAGCGGCUGGGUGAAUCGGACAAGAAGGCCAGGCUGUGGAGAUCGAGGUGCAUAUAUGUCAGAGCCGGAGAUGGUCGAAAGAGGAACUGACGAGAAGUGACGGUGAAACUGAGGGGGGUAAGGAGCGACGUGGCAGUUCCACGAGAUGCGCGACAAGAAAAUAUAAUACAAUUCGACUGCAUGACAAAUUACUUACAUUACAACCAGGAUCGUGACAGAUCAACCUAGCUCAAAUUAAAUAUUACCAAAUAUAACGACAUCAUAAAAUACCAUGUACAAUUAACCGGCGAGUUUCCACUAAUAUGCUCGCCGGAACCAGGCCGGUCAAAAGCCGGCCACGACAAAUCACCCCAACCAGUAACCUAAAUUAAAUAGUACCUACCAAACAUAAUUACAACAUAAUAUACUAUAAUUAUAAUGUUUCAUCAUAUACCUACGAUUAACCGGCGAGUUUCCACUUACUAUGCUCGCCGGAACUCUUGAGGCCAUAUAUACGUCGCGCUUCUCUGGACUGCCAACACCGCACGCUCCUUACCCUCCGAUCUACAGUUUCACCGUCACUACCAAAGUUCCUCCAUCUCCGAGUCCGACUAGCACCUCGAUCAGCAGCCUGCAAUAGCUUUCUACAGUCCGAACCACCCAGUCGAACGCCUUCCCGCUGCAGAACGAACACGAGCCGGUUACACGGACGCGGGCAGCGUUUCCGUGAUCGUGGUCCUUUGGCAAAGGCUGAUUUCUAGACUCGUCCACUUGCUGCUUCCUGAUCCUGCGGCUGCUGCCACCGCUGCAUGCCGUAAUCGUUGCCGUCGAGCUCCCACACAUCCUCUUGCUCCGUUCAGAGCACUGAACCGCAGUCGACCGGAAGUUGUUGUAGUGCACUGCGCUGUCGUAGCAGCCCAACGAGAACCUCCCAACAGGCCCGGUGGCCGCCGGGCGGCGUCCUGGUCCGACAGCCCGUCACCUCAAAGUAUCCUCUCGUCGUCUUUGGUGUGCAGUAUGUCUGUAAAAGCCGGCAAUGGACAUUUCACACCAGCGUUUCUAUUGUUCAAAUCGUCCGGUCGAUGCGGUCGUAGGCCGAAAAGUGGCAGUUUCAGAAAAGCGCAUUAAAGCUAAAAAAAAAAUUUGUCAUUGUUUUAUAUUAAUAAAGAAAAAUGUUCGGAUUAA